rfam:Myotis davidii contig112380, whole genome shotgun sequence.
GGUGGUUAUUGUGUGAUGCACCCCAGAAUUGGGCUCCCUCCUCUCUGGUUCCAGGUGGGUCACCCAAGAACUGCA